AACUUUCAGCAAUGGAUCUCUUGGCUCUCGCAUCGAUGAAGAACGCAGCGAAAUGCGAUAAGUAAUGUGAAUUGCAGUAUUCAGUGAAUCAUCGAAUCUUUGAACGCAACUUGCGCUCCUUGUUUUUCUCGGGUGCAUGCCUGGUUGAGUGGCAUGAAAUUCUCAACUGCUUUAGCCUUUGUGGUUGAAGUAAAGUUGGAUUUGGAGGAUUAAUUGCUGGCGUAACCUUUUAAGUUUGCUUGUUAGCUCCUCUUAAAUGGAUGAACUUUCCAGUAGUGUAAAAGUAACACCAAUGUGAUAAUUAUCUACGUUGGAUGAACUUGUACAAGGAAAGAUGAAUCUGUCUUGGACCCCCUUGACGAAACAAAUGACAAAUUUGACCUCAAAUCAGGUAGGACUACCCGCUGAACUUAAGCAUAUCAAUAAGCGGAGGCU
rnacentral:misc_RNA from 1 species